CCUACGGGAGGCAGCAGUAGGGAAUCUUCCGCAAUGGACGAAAGUCUGACGGAGCAACGCCGCGUGAGUGAUGAAGGUUUUCGGAUCGUAAAACUCUGUUGUUAGGGAAGAACAAGUACCGUUCGAAUAGGGCGGCACCUUGACGGUACCUAACCAGAAAGCCACGGCUAACUACGUGCCAGCAGCCGCGGUAU
rnacentral:rRNA from 1 species